rnacentral:rRNA from 1 species
AUUGAACGCUGGCGGCAGGCCUAACACAUGCAAGUCGAACGAGUGGCGGACGGGUGAGUAAUGUCUGGGAAACUGCCUGAUGGAGGGGGAUAACUACUGGAAACGGUAGCUAAUACCGCAUACCAUCGGAUGUGCCCAGAUGGGAUUAGCUAGUAGGUGGGGUAAAGGCUCACCUAGGCGACCAUCCCUAGCUGGUCUGAGAGGAUGACCAGCCAAACUAGAACUGAGACACGGUCCAGACUCCUCAGGUAGGCGAGAGUGGAGAGAAGUGCACAAGGGGCUCGAGCCUGAUGCAGACAUGCCGAGUGUAUGGAGAAGGCCUUCGGGUUGUGAAGGACUUUCAGCGGGGAAGCGUUACCCGCAGAAGAAGCACCGGCUAACUCCGUGCCAGCCGCCGCGGUAAUUC